CAGAGGGCGGGUGCGGGGUCGGCCGAGGGCUUCACCAAGGUCAGAGAUCCAGUCCCUUGAGAUGGGGGCGUUGCAGAGAAGGGCCAGGCUCCAAAGGAAGCAGGGAGCAGGAGAGCUUGGGCCUCUCUGAGCAGUGAGGCCGUGGUCCAUUUCUGAGCAGCCUAACGCAGGAAUGUCCAGCUGGCUUCCAAGUCAGAUCUGCUGUCUCAGGCGAAGGGCAGGCCCAGCUGAGUGGGAGCGGAUUCUUUCCCACUGCCUCAUUGUCGCUCCGAGAAAGGAAGUGUGAGUGCCCAGGGCAGGAGCCCUGCAUGCAGCCCCUGCCCAUCUUGUGCCCUUCACACUCCUGCUGCUCGAGGGGAACGCUGCCAUGGGAGCUUCUGUGACUUGCCCAGUGCUUUCAACCUGGAGGUAGAGGACAAAACCAACCAGCUCUGUUUGUUUGCAGCGGGAAGAAUUUCAGCACAAGGGAGUUAAGAAGCCUGUUGGCCGUGGGUCGCAAAGCCAAGCUUUCCUUCCGCACUCCUGGGUGCUCGUAGUGAUAGGAGGGAGUCUGUGCAAGCAGCGCGUGGGCGCUGGGGGGGGGACCUGGGCUGUAAGGAGGUGGAUCCACAUCCAAGGUAAUGAUGCUUCCCACCUCGUGGAGUUUUUGAAAAGAUCUAAAGAAGCAUAACAUGACAAGUAUGCAGCACAAUAAACACCGUGCCUUUCUCUCCUCUUCCCUAGAUCCUCAUAUCCCGAUGAGGUAGGAUUUAGCCAAUUUAUCCCCAUUCUACAGAUGAAGAAACUGAAUGCAGCACUCAGAGAAGGUGAUUUCCAUAAAUACUCAACAGGGGUUGUAUUGCAGAUACAUCAAUAUUUCCCAUCUCUGAGUUUGACAUGUGUGUUCAAUGGUCCAAGAAAAUCAAGGUUGGGGGUAGGGGUGAUGGUGCUAAUUUCCCAGAAGCAAUCUGACCUCUGCUCUUUGAAGUGUCACGAAAUUGGCUGGAGACUGCUCCCGUCAGCAGCACUGCACUAGGCUGCUGAAAGCACUUUUAGCACCUGAUUAAAAAGGAGCCUUAUUUUCCUGAGCAAUUACCAGCCUGCCUCUCAUGAUCUCAUCCCAAAGACAAGGAAGAAGAAUGACGGAAGGCUGGCCUCCUGAUGCUCACCCCACAGAACACUGAAUGGCCUGGCCUCACUGGUGUGUGGGAUGUACCAGGCAGGGCUUGGGCUGCGGCGGCCAGAGCUGUAGGGCAGCAAGUAGUGCUCGCCAUGGAGGUAGACUAUAUCCUUUCCAGCUCCGAUGGAGAUCCUGCUCUGACCUGCAUCCAGCCAUGACCUGGCUCCUGGGGGAAUGAAGCGAAAGGAAGAAAGGAACUAGGCUGAUUUGAAAUCCUCCUGUGGGGAGGUCAUCCCUUUCAUUUCCCAAAACAGCUCUUCCUGGGAGCACUUUAGCCUCAAGGUAUAUUAAAGGAAACAGAGACUCCUCAGGAGAUAACUUCCUGCCCCAAACUACACAGCCAGGAGUUUAGCAAAAAAGGAUUCAAACCCAAGCAGAGCCCUAAACAGCACACUGCAUUACACCAUGUUGCCCUGUAGCAUCCCUGGGCUGCCUUUAUGAGUAGCUAGGGGCUUGUGUUCACCUGGCCUUGCUCCCUCUGGUCUCACAGUGGGUAACAGAAAGUGUGCCCCACCCUGGGCAUGGCUGAAGACUCCUGCCCCCAUUUGUCCUGUAAUUGUGUCACCCCAAGGGCACUCCACACCUGGUCUCAGUCAUAACCAGGGCUGUCUCUUAGAGCUCAUAGUAGCAAGGAGCCAUAAAAAGGAAAUACCCAGUGCUGCCAAAGAUGUGGUCAAACAGGCAUGCUUACUCAUUGCUGGUGGCAGUGGAAAGCAAUUUGGCAAGAUGUAUGCAUACAAGCCUUGAUAAUGUGAAUCUCUUUGGUCCACUAAUCACACAUAUGCAAAUAUAUCUUUUUUUAACAU